rnacentral:rRNA from 1 species
CUGGCGGCGUGCCUAACACAUGCAAGUCGAGCGGGGACAUGCGACGGAGUCAAAGUUUUCGGAUGGAGACGAAGAUGUAUGUUCUAGCGGCGGACGGGUGAGUAACGCGUGAGCAACCUGUCCUUCACGAGGGGGAUAACACAGCGAAAGUUGUACUAAUACCGCAUAAGACCACAGGGAGACAUCUUCCAGGGGUCAAAGGAGCAAUCCGGUGAAGGGUGGGCUCGCGUCCGAUUAGAUAGUUGGUGAGGUAACGGCCCACCAAGUCGACGAUCGGUAGCCGACCUGAGAGGGUGAUCGGCCACAUUGGGACUGAGACACGGCCCAAACUCC